rnacentral:rRNA from 1 species
GGUUAAGAUUCCCGUACCACCGGCGAUUGUUUGAGGGACGGAGUGACACAGGAGGAUAGGCCAUCACGCGAUUGGUCGUGCGUGUCUAAGCGGUUAGGGAGUAUCGGGAGGCAAAUCCCCUGGUACAAUCCGGAGCCGUGACGGGGAGCGAAAUUAGAGUAGCGAACUGGUUGAUUCCACACUGUCAAGAAAAGCUUCUACUGAGAGAACCGGUGCCUGUACCGCAAACCGACACAGGUAGGCAGGUAGAGAAUACUAAGGUGAGCGAGAUAACUAUUGUUAAGGAACUCGGCAAAAUAACCCCGUAACUUCGGGAGAAGGGGUGCCCCCCCGGGUGUCACAGCCUGAGGGGGUCGCAGAAAACAGGCCCAAGCGACUGUUUAACAAAAACACAGGUCUCUGCUAAAUCGAAAGAUGACGUAUAGGGGCUGACGCCUGCCCGGUGCUGGAAGGUUAAGGGGAAGUGUUAGGGAAACCGAAGCUCAGAACCGAAGCCCCAGUAAACGGCGGCCGUAACUAUAACGGUCCUAAGGUAGCGAAAUUCCUUGUCGGGUAAGUUCCGACCCGCACGAAAGGCGUAACGAUUUGGGCACUGUCUCAACAAUAGGCUCGGUGAAAUUGUAGUACCGGUAAAGAUGCCGGUUACCCGCAGCUAGACGGAAAGACCCCGUGGAGCUUUACUGUAGCCUGGCACUGGACUUUGAUAUAGCAUGUACAGGAUAGGUGGGAGACUGAGAAGUGUGUACGCCAGUAUGCAUGGAGUCGCCCUUGGGAUACCACUCUUGCUAUAUCAGCGUUCUAACCAGUUGCCGUGAUCCGGCAAUGGGACAAUGUCAGGUGGGCAGUUUGACUGGGGCGGUCGCCUCCGAAAGAGUAACGGAGGCGCUCAAAGGUUCCCUCAGCGCGGUUGGAAAUCGCGCGCAGAGUGUAAAGGCACAAGGGAGCUUGACUGCGAGACAGACACGUCGAGCAGGUACGAAAGUAGGUCUUAGUGAUCCGGUGGUUCCGCAUGGAAGGGCCAUCGCUCAACGGAUAAAAG